UACGUAGGGGGCGAGCGUUGUCCGGAAUUAUUGGGCGUAAAGGGCGUGUAGGCGGCCUGUUAAGUCAGGGGUGAAAACCCGGGGCUCAACCUCGGGGUUGCCUUUGAAACUGGCGGGCUUGAGUGCUCUAGAGGGCAGUGGAAUUCCCGGUGUAGCAGUGAAAUGCGUAGAGAUCGGGAGGAACACCAGUGGCGAAGGCGGCUGCCUGGGGAGUAACUGACGCUGAGGCGCGAAAGCUAGGGGAGCGAACAGG
rnacentral:rRNA from 1 species